UUCAUGUGAAUGUGGAUUCUGCCAUGAGUGAUCUUGAUCAUAUUCAAAAUGAAAUUGAUACUUUGGGCCCUACUUAUGAUAGAUUGUCCAAGGAGGAGGAAUUGCGUUUAAAGGCUCAUGACGCCCUUCGGAUUCAAGGUAUUUUUUUAAGGGACAAAUCUCGUGUUCGUUGGCUAUCUGAUGGUGAUCGCAAUACUUCUUUUUUUUCACUCCAUGAUUCGCUAUAGGAAGCAUCAUCAUUCUUUUUCACACAUUCGUAACGGGGAUGUGAUGUUGGAGGAUCAAAAUGCUAUUAAGGAUCAUAUUAUCUCUUAUUUUUCUGACAUGUUUGCAGCUGAUAAUAAUGUGGUUAAUACAGGUCUGGUGGAGCGCGUUAUCCCCCAAUUAGUUUCGGUGGAUAAUAAUCUUGCCCUCACUGUUCUUCCAUCAGAAGAGGAAUUUUUUAAAACAAUUUGUUCAAUGGAUUCUUUUAGUUCGCCUGGCCCGGAUGGUUUUGGAGGUUGUUUUUUUGUUAAUUGCUAGAACAUUGUGGGUUUAGAGGUGGUUAGU
rnacentral:lncRNA from 1 species